rnacentral:rRNA from 1 species
AACGAACGCUGGCGGCAUGCCUAACACAUGCAAGUCGAACGAUGCCUUCGGGCAUAUUGGCGCACGGGUGCGUAACGCGUGGGAAUCUGCCUUUCGGUUCGGAAUAACUCAGGGAAACUUGAGCUAAUACCGGAUAACGUCGCAAGACCAAAGAUUUAUCACCGAAAGAUGAGCGCGUGUAGGAUUAGCUAGUUGGUGAUGUAAAGGCUCACCAAGGCGACGAUCCUUAGCUGGUCUGAGAGCAUGAUCAGCAACACUGGGACUGCGACACGGCCCAGACUGCGACGCGAGGGAGCGGUAGGGUAUAUUGGACGAUGGGCGAAGGCGUGACCAAGCAAUGCCGCGUGAGUGAUGCAGGGGUUAGGGUUGUAAAGCUCUUUUACACGGGAAGAUAAUGACGGUACCGGGUGAAUAAGCACCGGCUAACUACGUG